GAGUUUGAUCAUGGCUCAGAUUGAACGCUGGCGGCAGGCCUAACACAUGCAAGUCGAGCGGUAGAGAGAAGCUUGCUUCUCUUGAGAGCGGCGGACGGGUGAGUAAUGCCUAGGAAUCUGCCUGGUAGUGGGGGAUAACGCUCGGAAACGGACGCUAAUACCGCAUACGUCCUACGGGAGAAAGCAGGGGACCUUCGGGCCUUGCGCUAUCAGAUGAGCCUAGGUCGGAUUAGCUAGUUGGUGAGGUAAUGGCUCACCAAGGCGACGAUCCGUAACUGGUCUGAGAGGAUGAUCAGUCACACUGGAACUGAGACACGGUCCAGACUCCUACGGGAGGCAGCAGUGGGGAAUAUUGGACAAUGGGCGAAAGCCUGAUCCAGCCAUGCCGCGUGUGUGAAGAAGGUCUUCGGAUUGUAAAGCACUUUAAGUUGGGAGGAAGGGCAGUAAAUUAAUACUUUAGCUGUUUUGUACGUUACCGACAGAAUAAGCACCGGCUAACUCUGUGCCAG
rnacentral:rRNA from 1 species